GGUGAACCGCUGGCGGCGUGCUUAACACAUGCAAGUCGAACGAACCUUCGGGUUAGUGGCGGACGGGUGAGUAACGCGUGAGAAUCUGCCCUCAGGAGGGGGAUAACGGUUGGAAACGACCGCUAAUACCCCAUAUGCCUAUUGGUGAAAUGAAUUUCGCCUGAGGAUGAGCUCGCGUCUGAUUAGCUUGUUGGUGAGGUAAUGGCUCACCAAGGCUUCGAUCAGUAGCUGGUCUGAGAGGAUGAUCAGCCACACUGGGACUGAGACACGGCCCAGACUCCUACGGGAGGCAGCAGUGGGGAAUUUUCCGCAAUGGGCGAAAGCCUGACGGAGCAACGCCGCGUGAGGGACGAAGGCCUCUGGGCUGUAAACCUCUUUUCUCAAGGAAGAAGAUAUGACGGUACUUGAGGAAUAAGCCACGGCUAAUUCCGUGCCAGCAGCCGCGGUAAUACGGGAGUGGCAAGCGUUAUCCGGAAUUAUUGGGCGUAAAGCGUCCGCAGGCGGCUUUUCAGUCUGCUGUUAAAACCGUGGAGCUUAAC
rnacentral:rRNA from 1 species